rnacentral:sRNA from 1 species
UUCAGUAACAGUCCAUCAAUAUUCUGCUUCAUUACAUAGUGUAAAGAUGUGGGUGGCUCUUUUAAAUGAGACCAGCUCAACCAUUUUGUCUUAAAUGAAAUCUGAUAGAAAGUGAGAUUUUCCUCCUCCAGAUUUUAAUUAGUCAGUCUUUACAAUGCUGCCAUUUAUUCAGCUGUAGUAACUGGAAAUCCUAUUUAAUCAGACCUUGUAUCCUUGAAACCCCCCACAGAGCCACCUCAUUAAUGAAACUGGAACCUUGCUGCUCUCAUACCAGAAUCCAGAGUUAACUAAACACACGCACACAGGUUACAGAAGAAAAUGGGCCCACCCUUAGCAGUAGAAUUUCGAUUGAAGCUGCCAAAGUUACAUGAGUUCUCUCUUCUCAUGAAGGGUAGUGAUCUCCAGGAGCAAAAUAUGGCACCCAGAAAGUAGCCCCCAAAGAGAAGUCUACCCCCAUGAUAGUCUGCUGUGCUUGGCUUUAGAUUACUUUUCUCUACUGCCGCCCCAGUGUAAAGGUAUGUAAGAUCUUGACAACUGUGUAAGGCAUUUCGGUGUGUAAACUCUGCUGUACAGGUGGGUGAGGUGUAGGUGUGUUCCCAUGCUAUUUAGCCAGCUUAGCAUUGAUGUGGAGCCCAAAGCAGUCCUGCAGAGCCUUACCCCCAUUCAAGCUCAACAGCCUCUCCUCUAGGCCUUGCUCCUUCUCCCCCUGUGAUUCUCACUCUUUCUUCUGAUCUUGGGCUUAUAUACUGAAUUCCCUUUCAGCUUCCUAGAGCCCAUCCUGUUCAUUCUGAGUAUCUGUAUAGGCAUCAAGCCAUGCUAUGUGGGGAGCCCUCCAGAGGUUUCUCACCAUCCCAUCUCCAUCAGCACAUCCCAGAUCUGGCAUCUCACAGCUGUGCUCUUUCUGCUUCCUUCCUGUUCCUCGUCUCCUUACCCCUAGAACAGGUGAAUUAUAGAAAUACCAGAAGGGACAGUAGAAACCCCCUAAGCUUACGUUUUUAUUUACAGAUGAUUGGUGCUCUAUUUUUAGGGACUUCCUCAAGUUCUCAUAGCCAAUUAGUUACUCUAGAGCUUCCUGUUGGCAGAGCCCAGGACUGCAGAUCCCUGGGGGGUCACCUACCACACAGCCUGCCUAUAUACCAGUGACACACAAAUAUCAUCCUUCUCAGUGUACCCCAUGACAUGUGAAUGGUUGGGAAGCACAGAAGAACAGAGCUUGGGGGAGGUGCUGACUUCCCAUAGAGCUCUCUCCUCAUCCUUUCCAAUGUAGGUCAAUGCUUGCUUGUCUGUUUCCUCACUAGUCUCUCUUCAAAGUUGUUUUGCUUUGUUUUUUAUUCCCAGUUUCCUCUUGAUCAACCUGGCCCAGACCCUGGCCCUAUCCCCAGCAUGGUUCUCCUGUUGUCCUCUUUGGGGAGCUUUGUACCACCCCAGUUAGCAAGAUAAAGGCAGCCACUGAUUUCUCAAGAGUAUACCACACUGCCUUACAACACAUAGGCAUGUUCUAGGCCUCAUACGUUACCAUGUCUAGAAACAUCCCAUCUGGGGCCUUCUGUACAUCCAUGGUCACUUCUGUAAGGUGUGAAUAUUUGGGACAUACGGAGCUAAGAGAUUCUGAGUAAAGUGGUAGGCCCACUUUAGCUUCUUUCACUGCUCAGUGGCCCUGGAGCAGGAUAGAUUGGGCUGGCCUACUCCAUGCAUCCCCAAGGAGUGCUCUGAGGUUGUGCAGUGCUCAUUUACCUAUUAAUCUUAUUCAACAAAUUCUUACUAACUGCUACCAAUGAGGAAGGCCUUUGGUGAGCUGAGCAUACAUUGAUGAAAUACAGCAGCCAUAGAGAUCUAUCUGGGGCAUUAAGGAGAUGCUUUAACUUCUUUUAUUUAUUCAGCAAAUAUUGAUUAAUUUCUAACUCUUAAACCUUUGUACUAGGGGCUAAGGAUGCAAUGGUGAUAAGAUGAAUACAGUCUCUGCUUUCAUGGAUCUUACAUUCUAGAAGGGAAUAUAGAUUUAAAAUAAGUGAAUACGCAAGUAAAUCAUGACAGAUGCUAAAAGUUCUGUGAAAGUAACAAAAUACUAAGUUGGGAAGUAAGGAGAUGAGUGGGAAACCCACUUUAGAUAGAGUGAUCAGGGAAGGCUUCAUUGAGAAGGUCCUGUUUAAGCUGAGAUGUGAGGAUGACAGGGAGAUCAUCAGAUAAAGAAUAAAGAGAGAAUAUUCUAAACAUAGGAAAUAGCAUGUGCAAAGGUCCUGAGGCAGGAAAGUUUAGUGUCACAGUGAGAACCAUCCCUAUGGAAACAUUCCUUGAUUCUCUCCUUUCCACUUGUGCCACAGAGGCUACCUUUUAGAAAGGGAACAGGCAUUUCAGUUUUUCUGUAUGUGACAAAUAUUUUUUCUCAUUUAUCUCUUCCAGAAAUGGUUUAAGCAGCGCCUGGCAAAGUGGCGGCGCUCAGAAGGCCUGCCCUCAGAGUGCAGAUCCGUCACAGACUAAGGAGAUGGCAGGCAUUGACAGCUUUACUCCAUGAAGAUGAUCUCUGUUUCUCUCCUCCGCUUAACCAAGCUGUUAUGGUUUUUCAGCAUAGUGUUGUAUGUUCCAUUGCUAGCUGUCCUGCUGUUUAACACAGUGUUGUAUUUUUUUUCUAAAUGUACAUAAUUAGAAAAGAAAAUAACAAUAGGAAGCUAUGUGUAUCUUCUGUGUAAAGCAGUGGCUUCACUGGAAAUAUGGUGUGGCUUGCAUUUCCCUUUGAGUCAUGAUGACAGAUGGUGUGAAAACCAUCUAAGUUUGCUUUUGACCAUCACCUCCCAGUAGCAAUUUGCUUUCAUAAUCCAUUUAGCAAUCCAGGCCUCUGUUGAAAAGAUAAUAUGAGGGAGAAGGGAACACAUUUCCUUCUGAACUUACUUCCCUAAGUCACUUUCCUUAUGUUUCAUCUAAUACAAUGAUGGUUGAGUGAAAAUACAGAAGGUGUGUUUGAGUAUUCAGAUUUCAUAAAACACUUCCUUGGAAUAUAGCUGCAUUAACUUGGAAAGAAGCCUGUUGGGCCAGAAGACAGAAACUCCAACUGGCAAAAAAGCAAGCAUCUAAGAAAAAAAACCACCAAAGGUCUUCAAUUUACUAUAUUUAAAUGCAUUGGUUAAGUUUAUUUUGCUAAAUAAAGUGAACUGCUUUUUGUCUCUAAAAUGAUAUUCUAAAUAAAACCUUAACUUUUUGUUG